AUACGGGGGGUGCAAGCGUUAAUCGGAAUUACUGGGCGUAAAGCGCGCGUAGGCGGUUUGGUCAGUCGGAUGUGAAAGCCCUAGGCUCAACCUGGGAAUGGCAUUCGAUACUGCCUGACUAGAGUAUGGUAGAGGGAAGUGGAAUUUCCGGUGUAGCGGUGAAAUGCGUAGAUAUCGGAAGGAACACCAGUGGCGAAGGCGACUUCCUGGGCCAAUACUGACGCUGAGGUGCGAAAGCGUGGGGAGCAAACAGGAUUAGAUACCCCAGUAGUCC
rnacentral:rRNA from 1 species